rnacentral:rRNA from 1 species
UGGGGAAUAUUGGACAAUGGGGACAACCCUGAUCCAGCCAUGCCGCGUGAGUGAUGAAGGCCUUCGGGUUGUAAAGCUCUUUUGGCGGGGACGAUGAUGACGGUACCCGCAGAAUAAGCCCCGGCUAACUUCGUGCCAGCAGCCGCGGUAAGACGAAGGGGGCAAGCGUUGUUCGGAAUUACUGGGCGUAAAGGGCGCGUAGGCGGUUUGCUUAGUCAGGCGUGAAAGCCCUGGGCUUAACCUGGGAUGUGCGCUUGAUACUGGCAGGCUUGAGUGUGGGAGAGGUUGGUGGAAUUCCCAGUGGAGAGGUGAGAUUCGUAGAUAUUGGGAAGAACGCCUGUGGCGAAGGCGGCCAACUGGACCACAACUGACGCUGAGGCGCGAAAGCGUGGGGAGCAAACA